UCGCACGGCCAUACCAGCCUGGGUACGCCCGAUCUCGUCUGAUCUCGGAAGCUAAGCAGGGUCGGGCCUGGUUAGUACUUGGAUGGGAGACCGCCUGGGAGUACCAGGUGCUGUAAGCA
rnacentral:rRNA from 1 species